CGGGGCGUUGCACAGCCUGGUAGUGCGCCAGCUUUGGGAGCUGGAUGUCGUCGGUUCGAAUCCGGCCGCCCCGACCA
rnacentral:tRNA from 1 species